rnacentral:rRNA from 1 species
CUCCCUGGACCCUUGAGGUCCCUGAAGAGCCGUUCAAGACCAGGACGUUGAUAGGUCGGGUGUGUAAGCGCUGCGAGGCGUUGAGCUAACCGAUACUAAUUGCUCGUGCGGCUUGACUAUA